UUGCUAGUGACUUCUUAAACAACAUGCAUACAACAAUAUUAAUCAAUAAAUACGUUAGAAAAUGACACUUUGAGCAAAUCAAAUUGACAUAAAUAAUUGCCAUGUUGUUUGGAAAGCAUUUGGAGGUGAACUUCUCCAAGCAUCCGAACAUAACUCCAGGUGCUGACACACAUGAGUAUAUGAACUCAAGUCUCAACCGGUUCAAUUACAAUGUUGCGAAAAACUACCAGUAUUGCUGCUCGCCAACAAAGAUCAUCCACAUGUAUGCCCUCCCAUAACACAUUAUUGAAGUGGACAUUGCAAGUCUUCUCCAGGAGCAUGGACUCAUUCUCAACUACAAAGUAUUUGAGAUGAAGGGAAAAAGUAGGCUCUGGUUCAGUUCGAGUCUGAGGAGGAGGCAACUGAAGCCCUAGUUUGCAGGCAUGCAAAUUCACUAUCUGGCUUCAUGAUCCGCAUCUCCUUUUAUUACUUUUGAAUGCUUCUUCUUCUGCAACAUGGAUACAAAAAUAUUAAUCAUUAAAUAAUAAGUGAGAAAUAAUAUUCGGAGAAAACAAAUUGGUAAAUAUAAUAGUUUUAUCAACACUCAUGUUCAAUGCAUUAGCAUACCUUCACUCUUUCGUUUAAUCAAAGAAAUCACACUUGUUAGAUAUUUAUAUUGAGCAUCGCCAACAAGAUUGAUAUAGCAAAGCACAAUAAAGAAGAUGAACAAAUAUAAGAAAAAGUGAAUGGUCCUCGUCUGAUCAGGUAUAGAAUGAUUACCCAUGAGUUGGUUUUUUGCUUCUCUCGCGGAUCUGAUGGACACAAAACAACACAGAUUAAACAAGAAAAGUGAUCCCAACUACGACAAUUACAAUAAAUAACAAAGUAAGAUCAAUCACCUAAAACUUUACAUGUAAAUAAUAUUUAUUUGAGUAGAAUAAAAUUCCAAUAGAUCUACCCUGUCGAAAAUAUCAUCAUAUUCAAUUCAAUCAAAGAAUUAAACAAGCGCAAACAUGGAAAUACAAGACUACCAUGAAGAAGAAGGAUGAUCCGGAAAGAUCUGACUUACUGCUUCGUGCAAAUACAAGAAUACGAUGAAGGUGAUAGAAACUAGAGGAUUGUCGUUUGGGAGAGUGUCGUCGGCAUAUUGUGAAAGUGAACU
rnacentral:lncRNA from 1 species